rnacentral:misc_RNA from 1 species
AAGAGCAUCGACUCGCUUUCUACUUCUCUUUCCGUCGAGGCCUCCACCCGUGUACAGCCACCACCACCCUUCCCCCUCCCCGUCCACCAUCUCCCUCGCCCCAUACACGCACGCUUGUACAGAUCUAACAAAAAAAAAGCACAUCGGAUAAGUGCCAUGCUCCGCCGCGUUGCCCCGCUGCUGGCGGAGUUUAACUUCGUGCCCCUAGUAUCGAAGGUGUCGCACAAGGAAACCAAGUACCGUCUCUUGACCAAGGACUAUGUCUCUGUGGUGCAGCCCGGCGCUGGGCUGCCGGAGAUGCUGCGAGUGGAUCCUGCAGCACUUACGCUGCUGUCCUCCACAGCCUUCGAUGAUGUAGAGCAUCUGCUACGCUCUUCGCACCUCAUGUGCCUGCGCAAGAUCUUCGACGAUCCCGAGGCCAGCGACAACGACAGGUUUGUAGCGCUGCAGCUGCUGAAGAACGCGAACAUCUCCUCGGCCCGCUUGCUGCCCGGCUGCCAGGAUACCGGCACGGCCAUCAUCGCGGGCUACCGCGGCGAUCAGGUGUUUGUGCCCGGCAACGACGAAGAGGCCCUCAGCCGCGGCGUGUACGACAUCUUCCAGAAGCGCAACUUCCGCUACAGCCAGAACGUACCGCUCAGCAUGUACGAUGAGAAGAACACCGGCACGAACCUGCCAGCGCAGAUUGACCUCUACGCCAGCAAGGGGAUGGAGUACAGCUUCAUGUUCGUCGCGAAGGGCGGCGGCUCGGCAAACAAGUCCUUCCUGCUGCAGGAGAGCAAGUCCGUGCUCAACCCCAAGUCGCUUCGCAAGUUCCUCAAGGAGAAGCUAGCCAUGUUCGGCACCUCGGCCUGCCCGCCGUACCACGUCGCCGUCGUCAUUGGUGGUACGAGCGCUGAGAUGACCAUGAAGGUGUUGAAGUACGCCUCCUGCCACUACUACGACGACCUGAUCACAAAGCCAGAUAUGAAGACGGGCUACACAUUCCGCGACCUUGAGCUAGAGAAGGAGGUGCUGGAGAUAUGCCAGAACAUCGGGAUGGGUGCUCAGUUUGGCGGCAAGUACUACGCCCAUGACGUGCGCGUGAUCCGCAUGCCUCGCCACGGGGCCUCCUGUCCCAUCGGCAUCGGUGUUUCGUGCAGCGCGGAUCGCCAGGCGCUUGGCAAGAUCAACAAGGAUGGCGUGUGGCUGGAGGAGCUGGAGAUGGAGCCGUCCCAGUACCUGCCGGAUGUGAAGGAGGAUCAACUGCUCAAGACGCCAGCGGUCAUGGUGAACCUGAACCGGCCCAUGCCAGAGGUUCUUCAGGAGCUCUCCAAGCACCCCGUCAGGACCCGCCUCAGCCUCACGGGCACCAUUAUCGUGGCGCGCGACAGUGCCCACGCCCGGAUGCGCGAGAUGCUAGAGGCUGGUAAGCCGCUGCCGCAGUACAUGAAGGAGCACCCCGUGUACUACGCCGGCCCGGCGAAGCAGCCCGACGGUCUUCCGUCCGGCUCCUUUGGCCCGACGACGGCUGGCCGCAUGGACCCGUUUGUCGACCUCUUCCAGUCUCACGGCGGCUCCAUGGUGAUGCUCGCCAAAGGCAACCGCAGCAAGCAGGUGACGAAAGCGUGCCACAAGUACGGCGGCUUCUACCUGGGCAGCAUUGGCGGCCCAGCGGCCGUGCUGGCGCAGGAUGCUAUCAAGAAGGUGGAGUGCCUUGACAUGAAGGACCUUGGCAUGGAGGCGGUGUGGAAGAUCGAAGUGGAGAACUUCCCGGCCUUCAUCGUUGUGGAUGACAAGGGCAACGACUUCUUCGAACAGCUCUAGACAACGGCGCGAUGAAGGAUGCGCGCAGACGCGUUUUCGCACGAAAGUCGUACAAGAGGGAAAGGGCUCUCUCGUUUUUCCUGUUUACGCAUCGGCAUGGCUGCAACCCGCGCGAGUGCGAAGUGAGGGGCUACAGAGGGCGGCACGGUUUGCACCUGCGUCUGCGCGUGUGCGCCCUGGCCAUGCCGUUUCGGUGCGUGCAGUGCACGCCGGCGCACGCGCUCGCUACCGUUUUCCCUAUCCUCCCCCGCCUUCCAUGCCACCCGCUUUGGUGUUGCUGCCGUCUCAAUAUUUCUGCACCCUGUGCGUGUGUGCGUGCGUCUGAUCGACGUCUCUCUGUGGGUGUCUGCCAGUCUGCGUAUGUGUGGGUGUGGGUGUAGAUGGCCUGCCCCUGCCCCCGCCCACACACUUCCUCCUUGCCCAUACAACGAAGGGCCCCAGAAAGGAGAACUGAACAUCUCGAGGAUAGGGCGCUCUCGCAGGCUGAGAACAUGCAUGGAGGGGGACGGAGAGGCACGAAGGAACGCACGCAUCGGUGCGGCGUCUCUCGUCUAUCCCUUCAAGUGUAUGCAGACGGCAGGCGCUCGCGAACCAUUGAAGUACAGAAAAGCAGCCAACAUCAGGGGCGAGAGAAGAAACGCGGAGGCAUAAAGCUCGACCAUGUGUUGACGUCGCGCCUCGCUUCGCGCUUUCCGUGGUGUGGAUGGUGCGCGCUUGUCUCUCUCGAGCCCUUCCCUACCCCUUCCUCCUCGUCUUAGGUGUUCACGGGCUCUAUGCGCUGUCCUCGACCGUGUUGACUGAUCGCUCGUUCGCUGUGCGUGCUCGCUGUGCCUGCGCGAGUGAGAGAGCGCGCGUGUAUGUGUACGUGCGUUGGCUGCUCUGCCUCUCGCCGCCGUCCUGCUCGCUCCCCACCACUCCCGUGUGCAUCAGCUGUUUCACUAGCCCCUCCCUCUUUUUUGGAAGCUAGCUUGAUGUCUCACGGAGGUUGCGGUCUGCGCCACCUUUUGCCUCGUCCUUACAGUGUAUGGCCUAUGCCGACUUGUUUCGUGUCUUGCCGCUUUCUUGGUCUCUACGACUCCCCUCACCCCGCGCUCUGUGGGAGUCGUUGGUGCACGCGUGGGUGCGUGUUCAUCGUUUGGGUUCUCUCCCGCGUCGGCGGCCGCUUCCUUGUUCGGUUGCUUUCGUUUUUGUUCGCUUGUGCUCUUUUACUUGACGCAUUCUUAUAACCUUGGCAGUUUGCUAACCACCCACACCCACACACACCGCACCCCGAUCCCACCCCACCGCCCACUUGCGCGACGAUCGCCGGCUUAUCUCUGCGCCCCUCUUCCCAGCAUCACCACCACGAAGCACCUUCGCUCGGCACGUGAAAAACGAGGCAGCUUCCCCGCAUGCACCUCACUUCCACGCUCACGCUUCAUGAGGAGGUAAU